GCAUAAGACCUGGCAGCAUUAGCUUUGUGCCCUUGGAAGCCAGUUGCUGUGCAGGAAGUCUGAUGGCCCUGCUGGAAAGAAAGGACCCGGAAGAUGAGAUGACAUGAAGGAAGAGGCCACGAAAGAAGCACUGAGAGCAUAAUGGACCCAGUUGAUCUGCCUUACUGUGAACUCUUCUGUUCUUUACUGCACACAUUUAUUGUGUUUCAUAUCCAGAAAAAAUAAUUUAUCGGAGCCUUAAAAUACAAUACAAACAAAGUCGUCAUGGGCAUGGCCAUUCAAUAUCAACAGCUGAGACUGGGUGUGGUGGCUCACACCUGUAAUCCCAGCACUUUGGGAAGCUGAGGCGGGCGGAUCACUUGAGAUCAGGAGUUCGAGAUCAGCCUGGCCAACCUGGGGAAACCGCGUGUCUACGAAAAAUACCAAAAUUAGCCGGGUGUGGUGGCGGGCGCCUGCAAUCCCAGCUACUCGGGAGGCUGAGGCAGGAGAAUUGCUUGAACCCUGGAGGCAGAGGCUGCAGUGCUCCGACCCCACCAAAAAUAACUAAUUUUUAAAAAAAUACAACAUGUUUGAAUCUGCCAAACAAA
rnacentral:antisense_RNA from 1 species